CUUUGAGGAAAGUCGAUCCUCGCGUCGAGCCCGUCGUUUUGAGUGAGUUUUACUCACUAAUGCCUUCUUAGUGUGCUAAUUAUACUUAAAGGUUGAUUAGUGUUAAUUAAGCGUAAUUAGGUGGUUAGAUUAGAAUUGAUUAGUGAUUAUUAGUUAAUUGCUUUGCAUAUUAGUUGUGUAAUUAGUGUAAUUAGAUAGAGAAUUGCAUGUAGUAUUUAUUGGAUGCUUCUUGGGAUUUUUCCCGUCCCUUAUCGGGUGUUAAUUAAGCGAUUCGGGCCUAGGUGGUAUUUUUUAUGAAUUAAUUAUUAAUUUUCGAAAUUAAUUAUUUAAUUAUUUAUUUCCCGGAAAUUCAACUGGGAUGGCUAGUGACCAGGAUUUUGUGCUGAUGAUCAUGGCGAAGUCCGUUUAUUUAAUUGAGCUUUAUAUUGUGCUAAAUUGAAUUUAUUGUAUUUAUUUAUUUAAUUUUCAAAAUUAAUAAAUUAAUUAAUUAUUUUUCGAAAAUUAAGAUUUUGAUGGCCGACGACCGAAAUCUCGUGCUGAUCAUCGUGGCGCAAUCCGUUUAUUUAUUUGAGCUCCACGUUGUAUGGAAUUGAAUGAAUUGUGGUAUUUUAGGGAUUUACCCUAAUUUGAUUGGAAUUGAUUGAGAUUGAAUUGGCCAAGUGUGUUAUUUAGCAUUUAUAAUGCUUUGUUGAGUUGAUUUAAUUAAUUGAUUGAGAAAUCGUUGGGUAUUGGUUAUCACCUGAAAGGAAGCACGUGAGCUCGGUGAAUUGGAAUAUCACCUGGAAAAUGCAGGUGAGUUUAAUGGUUGAUUAUAUUGAAUUGUUUAUGUUGGCUCUGUGAUCAGUGUAUCACCAUGGCGAAAAAGACGCCCGAGAGCAUAUUGAAUUGUUUAUGUUGGCUCUGUGAUCAGUGUAUCACCAUGGCGAAAAAGACGCCCAAGAGCAUAUUGAAUUGUUUAUGUUGGCUCUGUGAUCAGUGUAUCACCAUGGCGAAAAAGACGUCCGAGAGCAUAUUGAAUUGUUUAUGUUGGCUCUGUGAUCAGUGUAUCACCAUGGUGAAAAAGACGCCCGAGAGCAUAUUGAAUUGUUUACGUUGGCUCUGUGAUCAGUGUAUCACCUUGGCGAAAAAGACGCCCGAGAGCAUAGCAAAGUGUUCACUGUACGUCACCUUGGCGAAUCGACGCCCGAGAGCAUUGAUGGAGCUCUGUGACUAAGUGCAGGCAUCUAAAAGGGUACGUGGGCUCGGUGACUUGAUGUAUCACUUUGGCGAAGAGGUCGCCUGAGAGAAUGCACGUGGGCCCGGGGUUCGAGGCACGUGGACUCGGAGACUUGGAAUGUCGUCCUAGAGAAUGCACGUGGCCUCGCUUUUUGAUACUCCUCCGUGGAGAGUGAUUUGUAU
rnacentral:lncRNA from 1 species